UGUUUGCUUCAAGACACAUAACUAAAAUUGGAACGGUACAGAGAUGAUUAGCAUAGGCCCUACACAGGAGGCCACUCAUGUCUGUGAAGCAUUCCACAUUUUU